rnacentral:rRNA from 1 species
UGGGGAAUUUUGUACAAUGGGGGAAACCCUGAUCCAGCCAUCCCGCGUGUGCGAUGAAGGCCUUCGGGUUGUAAAGCACUUUUGGCAGGAAAGAAACGUCAUGGGUUAAUACCCCGUGAAACUGACGGUACCUGCAGAAUAAGCACCGGCUACCUACGUGCCCGCAGCCGCGGUAAUACGUAGGGUGCAAGCGUUAAUCGGAAUUACUGGGCGUAAAGCGUGCGCAGGCGGUUCGGAAAGAAAGAUGUGAAAUCCCAGAGCUCAACGUGGGAACUGCAUUUUGAACUACCGGGCUAGAGUGUGGCAGAGGGAGGUGGAAUUCCGCGUGUAGAAGUGAAAUGCGAAGAUAUGCGGAGGAACACCGGUGGCGAAGGCAGCCUCCUGGGAUAACACUGACGCUGAUGCAGGAAAGCGUGGGGAGCAAACAGG